AUGCAUGCCCCUGCUAAUGAGUACCAGGCCACCAGCUGCCAAUUAACUCCAUUAUUACAACUAAACUCUGAUGCUGAUCGAGUGACGAAACGCACGCAAGGCGACACUGAACUUGCAUGCCUCUCACCUCUGGGCUAUCGAGCAUGCGCCAGCUCAGGCUGCCGCGCCUGCGCCUUCCGCCUGGCCGCCGCCGGCUCCACCAUGCGCCUGCGGCUUCCGGAUCAACGCCAGGAUGAUCCGGCCGGUGUAGGCGAGGAUCCUCACCGCGAGCAGGAAGCCGGCGGUGCACUGUACACCGCCAAUGAAACCCGCUUCAUACUCCCCCAUGACCGCCACCGCCCGCCCACCGGUGUGUUUGUGUGUGAGAGAGCUCGCUGGGAGGGAGAGGAAGUGAGGAUGGGGUGA
rnacentral:rRNA from 1 species